rnacentral:rRNA from 1 species
UACGUAGGGCGCAAGCGUUGUCCGGAAUUAUUGGGCGUAAAGAGCUCGUAGGCGGUCUGUCGCGUCGGAUGUGAAAACCCAGGGCUCAACCCUGGGCCUGCAUUCGAUACGGGCAGACUAGAGUUCGGUAGGGGAGACUGGAAUUCCUGGUGUAGCGGUGAAAUGCGCAGAUAUCAGGAGGAACACCGGUGGCGAAGGCGGGUCUCUGGGCCGAAACUGACGCUGAGGAGCGAAAGCGUGGGGAGCAAACAGGG